rnacentral:lncRNA from 1 species
AUCGUCUAAAAUUUAGCUAUGUUACAAAUAUGUUGCUUUUUAAUUUUCGGAAUAAUAUAUAUAUUACAUUUUCUAACAUAGUGAUAUAAGUAUUAUAAAAAGUACCUCUAAAAAAAAGUAUUAUAAAAAGUAUUUUUAUAAAAAUAUUACGUCAUUAAUUAGUAUGUAUUAAGCAUUUUAUGUGGGUCAACUUAAUCAUAGUAGAUAUGUACUAUUACUUAGAGACAGCAAUCGGGUCGAUCGAAACGGGUUUCGCAAAUUCCAAAAUUGAAUCCAAACUAUAUUAUAAAUCCUGAACAAUGCCAAAUCAUCAAUGUCACAUAUUUCAAAAAAAAGUCCAAGUCAAUGGCAUAUAUUUUAAAUUUUGCCAUGUCAUAUAAUAUUCCAUAUUUAUUUUAGACCAAUCAGAUGUCCUAAGAUUCCUAAAAUUGUGCGUAAUCAAUGGGUCGGUCGAAACGGGUUUCACAAAUACCAAAAUCGAACCCAAAUCUAUUUAUUUAAGCGUAUCAGAAUAAUCAAUAACAUAUCUUUGAAUUCCUAAAAUUGAGUGUAAUCAAUGACUGACAAUUAUAUUAAAUUUUGAAUGGUAAUGCAAUAACUACAUUCCAUAAUCAUAUCAUUUUUUGAAUGUUAAAUUUGUACAGAACUAAUUAAAAUUGAAAAAGAUAAUUAUAUUGAAUAUACUGCCACAAUUGUUAAGCUUAUCAUGUACUCCCUCCGUCCCCCUGAGUAGUAUACAUUGGGGACGGGGACGCGGCACGGACUUUAAUGCUCCUGCAAAAUGUAGUUGUGCAAUCUAUUUUUAAAAUUUUUCUUUUCUGAAUUAAAGUUUGGAUGUUAUAUUUUUAUACAAAAAAGGAAAAUCUCAAAAAAAAAAGUUACGGAACUAUAUUUUAUAAGAGCAUUGAAAUGCGUGUCGAGUAGUUAAAAAGAAACGUAUAGAAUUAAAUGGGACAGAGGGAGUAUCAUAUAACUACGCUUUAAUUAUAUUAACUUAUAUAUAAAUAAAUGAAGUGCUUAAAAAUUAAAAUUGAAAUUUAUAAUUAUAUUUUUAUUUAAUAUUUAAUAUCCGAAAGUCGUCUAAAAUUUAGCUAUGUUACAAAUAUGUUGCUUUUUAAUUUUCGGAAUAAUAUAUAUUACAUUUUCUAACAUAGUGAUAUAAGUAUUAUAAAAAGUAUUUUUAUAAAAAUAUUACGUCAUUAAUUAGUAUGUAUUAAGCAUUUUAUGUAGGUCAACUUAAUCAUAGUAGAUAUGUACUAUUACUUAGAGACAGCAAUCGGGUUGAUCGAAACGGGUUUCGCAAAUUCCAAAAUUGAAUCCAAACUAUAUUAUAAAUCCUGAACAAUGCCAAAUCAUCAAUGUCACAUAUUUCAAAAAAAAGUCCAAGUCAAUGGCAUAUAUUUUAAAUUUUGCCAUGUCAUAUAAUAUUCCAUAUUUAUUUUAGACCAAUCAGAUGUCCUAAGAUUCCUAAAAUUGUGCGUAAUCAAUGGGUCGGUCGAAACGGGUUUCACAAAUACCAAAAUCGAACCCAAAUUAUAUUAUAAAUCCUGAACAGUGCCAAAUCAUCAAUGCCACAUAUUUCAAAAAAAAAUCCACGACAAAAACACCUAUUUUAAAUUUUGACGUGUCAUAUCAUAUUCCAUAUUUAUUUUAGACCAAUCACAUGUCCUAAAAAUCCUAAAAUUGGGCGUAAUCAAUGACUGACAAUUAUAUUAAAUUUUGAAUGGUAAUGCAAUAACUACAUUCCAUGUAUCAUAGCAUUUUUUGAAUUUUGAAUUUGUACACAAC